rnacentral:lncRNA from 1 species
GGCUGGCCUGAUGGGCCACACCGCAGGCCACACCCAAAGAGCUGCUCCUGGGGCAGAGAGCGCCUCUGAGCAGGAAAUGACAGAGGAAGUUUUGGGUGCAGCUUUACCGAUAAGGACCCGUGAAACAAACAACGCCGUGUGAUACCGAUCAGCAAACAUUUCAGCCAAGCAGCGUGGAAGGAAGACUGCAGGCAAAAUGGCGGAAAGAAAAAGAUAAAGUAGGUAGCUCCUUACGAAGUGUAAUAACAGGAACAAGAAAACUGGACUUGGCAGCCUUUUGUUCUAUUUGUCAGCGACUCUACAAUUUUUUGGCUGAGAGAACAUGGAAAACUGGAGAUUUUUCCUCCACUGUUACAACGCCCUGCUUGCUAAGCCACGUGAUAAGAAACAAGGAAGCGCAUAUUGCUAUCAAGCCAAAACAGAACCUUCAUGAAGAAGCUUCAGGAAGCACUACUGUGUUAAAUACACUUACUAAUAUCAGAAGGGCUUUAAUAACAGAAGACAGUUGGGAGAGGCAGAGCAACACGGCCAAAUAGGAGGGGAGCAUCACACACUGGGGUCUGUUGUGGGAGCCUAGGGGAGGGACAGCAGGGGUGGGGAGGUUGGGGAGGGAUAACAUGGGGAGAAAUGCCAGAUAUAGGUGAUGGGGGGAUGGAGGCAGCAAACCACAUUGCCAUGUAUGUACCUACGCAUCACUCUGCAUGUUCUGCACAUGGACCCAAACCUAAAGUACAAAAUAUAUAUAUAUAUUAAAAAAAAACCACUUUCCUAAGAUCCAAAACUCAGGUGAGUGACCACAGGACCUGUUGGAGUUCGCAUCACUGAAAGAGGCCCUGAGGAGGGUAGGAAGGACAGUCUUGAUCACCCUCCCCCAACACCCCCGAAACUCCAGCAGCAGCCGUGUGGUGCAGAGAGAGAAUCUGUGCACUUGGAGGAGGGCGGGCACGGUGACCGUGGGGCUUUGUGUGGGAACUCAGUGCUGCUGCCCUGUCGCAGCAGAAAGCAACAUGGGGCAGAACUCAGCGGCGCCCAUAGAGGGAGGGUUUAGACCAGCCCUAGCCGGAGAA